rnacentral:tRNA from 1 species
CGGGACGUAGCGCAGCUUGGCAGCGCGCCUGCUUUGGGAGCAGGAGGUCGCGGGUUCAAAUCCCGCCGUCCCGA